rnacentral:rRNA from 1 species
UACGAAGGGGGGCUAGCGUUUGUUCGGAAUUACUGGGCGUAAAGCGCACGUAGGCGGAUUGUUAAGUCAGAGGUGAAAUCCCGGAGCUCAACUUCGGAACUGCCUUUGAUACUGGCAAUCUAGAGUCCGGAAGAGGUUAGUGGAAUUCCCCAGUGUAGAGGUGAAAUUCGUAGAUAUUCGGAAGAACACCAGUGGCGAAGGC